GAUAAAAAUUAGUUAGUUACUUUAUGGUCAUCAAAUGGAAGCCUCUAUAAGUUGUGAAGUUCAAAUGGCAUCCUGGUGCCAUGAAUGGCUACAAGUGAUUCAUUAUUUAUGCAUGGAGAUAUAUUGUAUGGGCAUGCACAUGAUCUCCACAACGGAUAAUGCUCUCAGUUCAAGUGGGCAUUAUCCUACAAUUAUUUACCUAUAAUGUUGAUCGCAAAAGUCUAUUCUACCUGGAUGUUAAUUUUAGAAGGCUAAGGUACCAAGGUCUUGCUAUAUAAACCCAAAAUCACGCUCAUUGCCUUUCUUAUCCAUUGGGCUAGUGCUA